ACAAACAUGAAUUCAAACCUUUAAGUCAUGAUUGAUAGACAUUCUAAUAUUUUGUACCAGUUCCCCAAAGUAUGCCAUGGGGAUACAUGUGCCUUACUUUUAGGUAUGUGGUAAUAUAGUCAGGAAAUACUUGCUUUUAAUGUUCAGCUAGUCUGUUCUGACUACCAACACAUUUCUAUUGUUGUAGUGAAGAUUCAAGAUUAUAGUGUGCUUGAGAUCUAGUAAUGGAGUAUAAGGGAGGGGCGUGAUAAGGGAAUUAGCUUGUGACUAAGGCUUGCCAGGACAAAAGUUUGUUUCCAGAUGCUGACCCAGUCUGCUAUGUGUCACAUAGCUGUCCCUGGGCUCUCUUCCAACCUGCUUAUAUCACCUCCGCAGCACCUGGAUUAUAAGACUGCUAGAGAGGUGAAGAGAAGCGCUCGUUUGGGCCUUUCUCGUUGGCCUGCGCAUAGUCAUGUGGGCUCACUCUACCUGCAGGGGAGGCUGGGAACCAACCUUCCUUUGUGCCAGCAAGAGGAGUGCAAAGUGGGAUAUAGUGUCUCACCGCAGCUCCUUACCCCUACGUCAUUAGUGUAUAGUUGUUAGUGUUUGUUAACUCAGCUCAUAGGAGCCAUGUAAAAGCUUUAGCAUAGAUUUUAGCAUGAGCAGGAUGUUAUAUUUUAGUAAGAUUGUGCUCUUAAAACAUUUCUUUUUUUUUUUCCCUUAUAACUGUAAUCACAGUGUAUUUUCGUAUUUCCCUUUUAAUCUCAUUUGAAUAUAUUCUUGCAGAAAUAAAACCGUUGUCUCACUUUCCAUGUUUCUGCUCCUAUCUCUUCGUCUCACACGACUGUUCUGGACAGAUAGUGCUAACUUUGGUUUCUUUGGUUUAUUAGGAACGAAGCAACAUCACAAUUGCUAUGUAUAGAACGAAUCAACUUUAUGUUAUCAUUUGAAGCUGUGACUAAAUACAUCUUGAUACAUUUCUGUAGUAGAUCUGGUUUUGGCACAAAUCCCUUAUUGCUUUUCUUGGGACUAGUAUUUCUAUUGGGAUUUCUAGACUAUUAGGUGCUGAUCUCUUCUGGGAUUUUGACACUGUGGUUCUAACCAGGUUGGAGACUAAAGCCAGUGCAGUUGUUAAUGUUUUCAGAUCUCACUCUUCCCAGACGGAUGGCGAAUAUGUAAAAGUCAAUUUUCUCUACACUUGGGGAGUUUAAAGCUGUGUUUAAGGAUGGCAUAAAUUGAAUUUUCCUUUCCAAAUAUGGCUGUAGUCAAACACAGAUGAUGGAGCAGUAAAACUGUUAGAAAGGACCACAGAAGAAUUUUGUUUUGUUUUUUCUGGUC
rnacentral:lncRNA from 1 species